rnacentral:rRNA from 1 species
AGAGUUUGAUCCUGGCUCAGGAUGAACGCUAGCGGCAGGCCUAACACAUGCAAGUCGAGGGGUAACAGGAGAGCUUGCUUUUGCUGACGACCGGCGCACGGGUGCGUAACGCGUAUGCAACCUACCUCAUACUGGAGCAUAGCCCUUGGAAACGAGGAUUAAUACUCCAUGGUAUCAUGAAUUCGCAUGUUUUCAUGAUUAAAGAAUUUCGGUAUGAGAUGGGCAUGCGUCCCAUUAGCUAGUUGGUGAGGUAACGGCUCACCAAGGCGACGAUGGGUAGGGGGCCUGAGAGGGUGGUCCCCCACACUGGUACUGAGACACGGACCAGACUCCUACGGGAGGCAGCAGUGAGGAAUAUUGGUCAAUGGAGGCAACUCUGAACCAGCCAUGCCGCGUGAAGGAUGACGGCCCUAUGGGUUGUAAACUUCUUUUAUAUGGGAAGAAACUUAUCUACGUGUAGAUAACUGACGGUACCAUACGAAUAAGGAUCGGCUAACUCCGUGCCAGCAGCCGCGGUAAUACGGAGGAUCCAAGCGUUAUCCGGAUUCAUUGGGUUUAAAGGGUCCGUAGGCGGAUUUUUAAGUCAGUGGUGAAAGCCGACAGCUCAACUGUCGAACUGCCAUUGAUACUGGAGAUCUUGAGUACAAAUGAAGUAGGCGGAAUGAGUCAUGUAGCGGUGAAAUGCAUAGAUAUGACUCAGAACACCAAUUGCGAAGGCAGCUUACUAACAUGUAACUGACGCUGAGGGACGAAAGCGUGGGGAGCGAACAGGAUUAGAUACCCUGGUAGUCCACGCCGUAAACGAUCAUCACUCGCUGUUGGCGAUAUACAGUCAGCGGCCAAGCGAAAGUAUUAAGUGAUGCACCUGGGGAGUACGCCGGCAACGGUGAAACUCAAAGGAAUUGACGGGGGCCCGCACAAGCGGU